GUGCUCAUUUUGGCAGCAUAUAUACUAAAACUGGAAUGAUACAGAGAAGAUUAGCAUGGCCCCUGUGCAAGGCUGACACGCUGAUUCAUGAAGGAUAUAAAGUACAA